rnacentral:rRNA from 1 species
GUGAGACAGGUGCUGCAUGGCUGUCGUCAGCUCGUGUUGUGAAAUGUUGGGUUAAGUCCCGCAACGAGCGCAACCCUUAUCCUUUGUUGCCAGCGAUUAGGUCGGGAACUCAAAGGAGACUGCCAGUGAUAAACUGGAGGAAGGUGGGGAUGACGUCAAGUCAUCAUGGCCCUUACGACCAGGGCUACACACGUGCUACAAUGGCGCAUACAAAGAGAAGCGACCUCGCGAGAGCAAGCGGACCUCAUAAAGUGCGUCGUAGUCCGGAUUGGAGUCUGCAACUCGACUCCAUGAAGUCGGAAUCGCUAGUAAUCGUGGAUCAGAAUGCCACGGUGAAUACGUUCCCGGGCCUUGUACACACCGCCCGUCACACCAUGGGAGUGGGUUGCAAAAGAAGUAGGUAGCUUAACCUUCGGGAGGGCGC